rnacentral:tRNA from 1 species
AAUAAGAUGCCUGAUUAAAAGGGCUACUUUGAUAGAGUAGAUCAUGCAACUCUACCCUGCUCUUAUUA